GAAGUGUUAGUAAAAUAUUACAUUAUCUUGUCAAGAUAAUAUCACGAGUGAAAAUCUUGUACAUUUCU
rnacentral:tRNA from 1 species